GAAAUAGUGACACCUACAGGUUAAACUAGUGAGCUGCAUUUAAUUUAAGUUACUGUGGUCAUGUGAUUAGCCUAACUAAUAGCAGUGCAAAAAUGUGCAUGCAGUUUGUUGGUGCUACGCUGUACACGGAGUUAGAUGCUAAAGAAGAGAAUAAUUAAACAGUAAAGCGUUACAGCAACUCCUAGAUUUCUGGUCGGAAGGCGCACACGUUUUUGACGGUGUUUGACGGUGUUUGAUGGUGUUUGAUGGUGUUUGAUGGUGUUUGACGGUGUUUGACGGUGUUUGACGGUGUUUGACGGUGAUUGAAUGCGCUUAAGUUGUGAAGGAAUGCAAUUAAAGAAACGACAAACAUCAGUUGAAGCGUACGUUUUAAUCUGACCAGAAGAAUAAGUUUGGGAGCAGCUACAGUGAAAAACGUGGCCUACUGCCUUUGGAAAGGCAGUGAAGAAGAACGUAGGCCUAUUCUGGAAAAGCAGUGAAAAACGUGGCCUGCUGCCACGAGCCACAGUGAAGAACAUACUGCUUCGUGAACUGCAGUGAAAAAGUAUUGUUUGGUGUGGUGUAAAACAUCGCCAUCCAUGGACAUGUACAACGUAGCCAUUGGAGAGUGAGCAACGAUCGCCAGCAUCCCAGGGAAUAUUGUACGGGCCGCCCCUUGUGAAGUCCCGCACUCAGCGUAAACGACCUGCCUACCCAUCCUGGCAUUCAUCCAACGUGACCUCGCGAGCUUCAGUUCAGCGUGAAGGUGGAACCCAGAAGAAGACGGUGCUGCAGCUGCCAAGAACGGCCACAGGGAAGCAACAACGCGACAUCUUUGGACAAUUGAGUUUGUGAACAUUCAUUAAAUCUGGAUUCCAGGCUAAUAGCACCAGCUGCUUUCCAUUGCCCUAAGGAGUGAUUCUACUGCUGCAACGAGACCAAAUACAACGAAAGUAUUGAUGCUGCAAAAGAAGACGGAUCUUUUGGUAGGCUGGUUAAUGAUGACCACAAGCACCCAAAUGGCAGAAUGCAGAAGACUGAAGUGGAUGGAAGCCCACAUCUUGGUCUGUUUGCUUUAACAGACUUUAAAGAAGGUUGAGUUGGUGUUUUCUCACAGAGGAAAGCUGUAGAGUUCUGUCCUCAGUUCUCAGAUCAAACUCCUCCAGACUGAGAGAACUGAACCUGAGUCACAAUAACCUGCAGGAUUCAGGAGUGAAGCUGCUCUCUGCUGGACUGGAGAAUCCACACUGUACUCUGGAGAUACUGAGCGUUUUCAGGCUUAUACUUUCAGUAUUUACAGGCCUUUGCUCGAUGGAUCAGAAAGCUGUCUGAAAACAAACCAUAUC
ensembl:lncRNA